AGAGUUUGAUCCUGGCUCAGGACGAACGCUGGCGGCGUGCCUAACACAUGCAAGUCGAACGAGAAUCUUUGAACAGAUCUUUUCGGAGUGACGUUCAAAGAGGAAAGUGGCGGACGGGCGAGUAACGCGUGAGUAACCUGCCCAUAAGAGGGGGAUAAUCCAUGGAAACGUGGACUAAUACCGCAUAUUGUAAUUAAGUUGCAUGACUUGAUUAUGAAAGAUUUAUCGCUUAUGGAUGGACUCGCGUCAGAUUAGAUAGUUGGUGAGGUAACGGCUCACCAAGUCAACGAUCUGUAGCCGAACUGAGAGGUUGAUCGGCCGCAUUGGGACUGAGACACGGCCCAGACUCCUACGGGAGGCAGCAGUGGGGAAUAUUGCGCAAUGGGGGCAACCCUGACGCAGCAACGCCGCGUGCAGGAAGAAGGUCUUCGGAUUGUAAACUGUUGUCGCAAGGGAAGAAGACAGUGACGGUACCUUGUGAGAAAGUCACGGCUAACUACGUGCCAGCAGCCGCGGUAAUACGUAGGUGACAAGCGUUGUCCGGAUUUACUGGGUGUAAAGGGCGCGUAGGCGGACUGUCAAGUCAGUCGUGAAAUACCGGGGCUUAACCCCGGGGCUGCGAUUGAAACUGACAGCCUUGAGUAUCGGAGAGGAAAGCGGAAUUCCUAGUGUAGCGGUGAAAUGCGUAGAUAUUAGGAGGAACACCAGUGGCGAAGGCGGCUUUCUGGACGACAACUGACGCUGAGGCGCGAAAGUGUGGGGAGCAAACAGGAUUAGAUACCCUGGUAGUCCACACCGUAAACGAUGGAUACUAGGUGUAGGAGGUAUCGACCCCUUCUGUGCCGCAGUUAACACAAUAAGUAUCCCACCUGGGGAGUACGACCGCAAGGUUGAAACUCAAAGGAAUUGACGGGGGCCCGCACAAGCAGUGGAGUAUGUGGUUUAAUUCGAAGCAACGCGAAGAACCUUACCUGGGCUUGACAUCCCUGGAAUCGAGUAGAGAUACUUGAGUGCCUUCGGGAAUCAGGUGACAGGUGGUGCAUGGUUGUCGUCAGCUCGUGUCGUGAGAUGUUGGGUUAAG
rnacentral:rRNA from 1 species